GAAUGAUGGUGGCUGCACUGACUAGAGGUCUAUGUGCUGCAGAGGGUCAAUUACAACGUUCAUGGCUAGGGCUAUUGAGUGACCUGAAGGUCAGACACAGCCCUGUCUUAGGAUCUUUGUUUUUCUUUUUUCUUUUCUCUUCUUUUUUUUUCUUUUUUUCUUUUUUUGAGACAGAGUCUCGCUCUGCCGCCCAGGAUGGAGUGCAGUGUCGAGAUCUCCGCUCACUGCAACCUCCGCCUCCCAGGUUCAGGCAAUUCUCUGCCUUGGCCUCCCC
rnacentral:lncRNA from 1 species